rnacentral:rRNA from 1 species
AGAACGAACGCUGGCGGCGUGCUUAACACAUGCAAGUCGAGUGCGCGUCUGUAGCAAUACAGAUGGCGCACGGCGCACGGGUGCGUAACACGUGGGUAAUCUGCCCUCUGAUGGGGAAUAACUCGCCGAAAGGCGAGCUAAUUCCGCAUAAUAUUCCGAGAACUUAGGUUUUUGGACUGAAAGGCGUAAGUUGUCGGAGGAGGAGCCCGCGCACGAUUAGCUAGUUGGUAGGGUAAUGGCCUACCAAGGCUUUGAUCGUU